rnacentral:rRNA from 1 species
AUUGAACGCUGGCGGCAGGCCUAACACAUGCAAGUCGAACGAGUGGCGGACGGGUGAGUAAUGUCUGGGAAACUGCCUGAUGGAGGGGGAUAACUACUGGAAACGGUAGCUAAUACCGCAUACCAUCGGAUGUGCCCAGAUGGGAUUAGCUCGUAGGUGGGGUAAUGGCUCACCUAGGCGACGAUCCCUAGCUGGUCUGAGAGGAUGACCAGCAACACGGGAACGGAGACAAGGGCCAGACUCCUACGGGAGGCAGCAGUGGGGAAUAUUGCACAAUGGGCGCAAGCCUGAUGCAGCCAGGCCGCGUGUAUGAAGAAGGCCUUCGGGUUGUAAAGUACUUUCAGCGGGGAGGCGUUACCCGCAGAAGAAGCACAGGCUAACUCCGUGCCAGCAGCCGCGGUAAUAC